GUGAGAGGAAUUCCUUUGAUAAUUUGAUCUCCUCUCCUUUUAGUUUAGCUCCAAAAGAACUACACAACUCUCCAACCGUGAUGUUUUUCAACAGCUGCAGAUCACAGACAUAAGGCUCUAAAUCACUAUCAACCGCCAACUGAGAGACAUAAGGGAGUUCCUCUUCAAACAAUUUCAACUGAUCCUGAAAUUCUUUUUGGAAAAGAUACUUUUACUGACGCUUCAGUAUACUUAUGACAAUUUGGAAAAUCUUUUGAAAGUUUCUUCUGAAGUUCACCUUCCUGCUUGGACAGUUCGAGUUGAUGGACAUCCCAGAGACUACUGGCCUCUUGAAAAUAUCUGUACAGGUCUCUACAGUUCUGCUCAUUCUGUUUAGCCAGCUCCUCAAAGUCUCUCUUAAAAAAAAAAA